CGUAGGAUCAGAGAAUGAGCUUCUUAUGCCUUUGCCACCUUGGCACCCUCUUGAUUAGGUUGCUCUUGCUCGGGCUCGAUCUCAGGCAGACGUAUAUCGCCUGCAACGCACUCAGGCUCAGACAAUAGUUAGGCGUCUGCAACCCACUUGAGUAUCAAAGUCAGAAGCAUCAACGUUGUCCCAUUGUGCAUUAGCAUCAAUGACCCCGAGUAAAAGUUCAUCGCGAUAAGGGCUUGGCAGAGGUAGCGGUGACCAUGGAGAAUGAGAGAGAUCUUCAACAUGGAUGAAAAUAGCAACAAUCAUGGUCAAGAGCAACAACUCCAUACUCUCCAACCAUAUCAUAUUUUUGGAAAAUAUCAAAUCCAACAAAAUUAGUGGCAAAGCGAUCAGAAUGUUACAUGUUGCAGAAGAGGCGACAAUUACAUCAGCACACGAACAGUCAUGGUGAAGAAGAAGAGCAACUGGCAUCCAACAUUGAGGAUGCCGACGGAGACCACUAGGGAGAGCCAUCAUCGAUCAACCAGGCAGAGGGGAUAGCGGUUCCAGCUGCCCCCAAACAGUUCCUAGAGGAGGCGAUGGUUACAGUCAUGGAGAAAGAGAGGAGCGACCUCAUGCAAGACUUUGAGAUCACGUUAAGUUUUGAUUUUCCCAUCCAUCUAGUGAGUUCCGAAGGAUGAGGCGAACGCCGUUCGAUGGGCGGAGAGACAGCAUGAUCCGCGGCGAGUGGGAGUACGCCGGCGACACCGACCACGCGAACCUUCGCAGCACGAGGCUGAGCACGAUCUUGAACUCCAUCGCCG